rnacentral:rRNA from 1 species
UACGGGGGGGGCAAGCGUUGUUCGGAAUUACUGGGCGUAAAGGGUUCGUAGGUGGCCAACUAAGUCAGACGUGAAAUCCCUCAGCUUAACUGGGGAACUGCGUCUGAUACUGGAUGGCUUGAGUGCAGGAGAGGAACGCGGAAUUCCAGGUGUAGCGGUGAAAUGCGUAGAUAUUGGGAAGAACACCGGUGGCGAAGGCGGCGACCUGGUCCGAUACUGACGCUGAGGCGCGAAAGCGUGGGGAGCAAACAGG